rnacentral:rRNA from 1 species
CCUACGGGGAGGCAGCAGUGAGGAAUAUUGGUCAAUGGGCGAGAGCCUGAACCAGCCAAGUCGCGUGAAGGAUGAAGGUUUUAUGAAUUGUAAACUUCUUUUGCAGGGGAAUAAAGUACGGUACGUGUACCGUUUUGUAUGUACUCUGCGAAUAAGGAUCGGCUAACUCCGUGCCAGCAGCCGCGGUAAUACGGAGGAUCCAAGCGUUAUCCGGAUUUAUUGGGUUUAAAGGGUGCGCAGGCGGGUUGAUAAGUCAGCGGUGAAAGUUUGCAGCUUAACUGUAAAAUUGCCGUUGAAACUGUCGAUCUUGAGUGCAAAUGAGGUAAGCGGAAUGUGUUGUGUAGCGGUGAAAUGCUUAGAUAUAACACAGAACACCGAUUGCGAAGGCAGCUUACUGGGAUGCAACUGACGCUCAUGCACGAAAGCGUGGGGAUCAAACAGGAUUAGAUACCCUGGUAGUCCACGCAGUAAACGAUGAAUACUAACUGUUUGCGAUAUACAGUAAGCGGUACCAGCGAAAGCGUUAAGUAUCCACCUGGA